rnacentral:rRNA from 1 species
GAUGAACGCUGGCGGCGUGCCUAAUACAUGCAAGUCGAGCGAACAGACGAGGAGCUUGCUCCUCUAACGUUAGCGGCGGACGGGUGAGUAACACGUGGAUAACCUACCUAUAAUACUGGGAUAACUUCGGGAAACCGGAGCUAAUACCGGAUAAUAUAUUGAACCGCAUGGUUCAAUAGUGAAAGACGGUUUUGCUGUCACUUAUAGAUGUAUCCGCGCCGCAUUAGCUAGUUGGUAAGGUAACGCCUUACCAAGGCAACGGUGCGUAGCCGACCUGAGAGGGUGAUCGUCCACACUGGAAGUGAGACACGGCCCAGACUCCUAGGGGAGGCAGCAGUAGGGAAUCUUCCGCAAUGGGCGAAAGCCUGACGGAGCAACGCCGCGUGAGUGAUGAAGGUCUUCGGAUCGUAAAACUCUGUUAUUAGGGAAGAACAAAUGUGUAAGGAACUAUGCACGUCUUGACGGUACCUAAUCAGAAAGCCACGGCUAACUACGUG